GACGAACGCUGGCGGCGUGCUUAACACAUGCAAGUCGAACGAAGAGCGAUGGAAGCUUGCUUCUAUCAAUCUUAGUGGCGAACGGGUGAGUAACGCGUAAUCAACCUGCCCUUCAGAGGGGGACAACAGUUGGAAACGACUGCUAAUACCGCAUACGAUCUAAUCUCGGCAUCGAGGAUAGAUGAAAGGUGGCCUCUACAUGUAAGCUAUCACUGAAGGAGGGGAUUGCGUCUGAUUAGCUAGUUGGAGGGGUAACGGCCCACCAAGGCGAUGAUCAGUAGCCGGUCUGAGAGGAUGAACGGCCACAUUGGGACUGAGACACGGCCCAGACUCCUACGGGAGGCAGCAGUGGGGAAUCUUCCGCAAUGGACGAAAGUCUGACGGAGCAACGCCGCGUGAGUGAUGACGGCCUUCGGGUUGUAAAGCUCUGUUAAUCGGGACGAAAGGCCUUCUUGCGAAUAGUGAGAGGGAUUGACGGUACCGGAAUAGAAAGCCACGGCUAACUACGU
rnacentral:rRNA from 1 species